CACGUAGGGUGCGAGCGUUGUCCGGAAUUAUUGGGCGUAAAGAGCUCGUAGGCGGUGUGUCGCGUCGGCCGUGAAAACCCGCGGCUUAACCGCGGGCUUGCAGUUGAUACGGGCAGGCUAGAGUUCGGUAGGGGAGACUGGAAUUCCUGGUGUAGCGGUGAAAUGCGCAGAUAUCAGGAGGAACACCGGUGGCGAAGGCGGGUCUCUGGGCCGAUACUGACGCUGAGGAGCGAAAGCGUGGGGAGCGAACAGG
rnacentral:rRNA from 1 species